GGUGGCGAGUGGCGAACGGGUGAGUAAUAUAUCGGAACGUGCCCAGUAGUGGGGGAUAGCCCGGCGAAAGCCGGAUUAAUACCGCAUGAGACCUGAGGGUGAAAGCGGGGGAUCGCAAGACCUCGCGCUACUGGAGCGGCCGAUAUCAGAUUAGCUAGUUGGUGGGGUAAAAGCUCACCAAGGCAACGAUCUGUAGUUGGUCUGAGAGGACGACCAGCCACACUGGGACUGAGACACGGCCCAGACUCCUACGGGAGGCAGCAGUGGGGAAUUUUGGACAAUGGGCGCAAGCCUGAUCCAGCAAUGCCGCGUGCAGGAAGAAGGCCUUCGGGUUGUAAACUGCUUUUGUCAGGGAAGAAAUCCUCUGGGUUAAUACCUCGGGGGGAUGACGGUACCUGAAGAAUAAGCACCGGCUAACUACGUGCCAGCAGCCGCGGUAGUACGUAGGGUGCGAGCGUUAAUCGGAAUUACUGGGCGUAAAGCGUGCGCAGGCGGCUUUGCAAGACAGAUGUGAAAUCCCCGGGCUCAACCUGGGAACUGCAUUUGUGACUGCAAGGCUAGAGUACGGUAGAGGGGGAUGGAAUUCCGCGUGUAGCAGUGAAAUGCGUAGAUAUGCGGAGGAACACCAAUGGCGAAGGCAAUCCCCUGGACCUGUACUGACGCUCAUGCACGAAAGCGUGGGGAGCAAACAGGAUUAGAUACCCUGGUAGUCCACGCCCUAAACGAUGUCAACUGGUUGUUGGACGGCUUGCUGUUCAGUAACGAAGCUAACGCGUGAAGUUGACCGCCUGGGGAGUACGGCCGCAAGGUUAAAACUCAAAGGAAUUGACGGGGACCCGCACAAGCGGUGGAUGAUGUGGUUUAAUUCGAUGCAACGCGAAAAACCUUACCUACCCUUGACAUGUCAAGAAUUCUGCAGAGAUGUGGAAGUGCUCGAAAGAGAACUUGAACACAGGUGCUGCAUGGCCGUCGUCAGCUCCUGUCGUGAGAUGUUGGGUUAAGUCCCGCAACGAGCGCAACCCUUGUCAUUAGUUGCUACCGCAAGGAGCACUCUAAUGAGACUGCCGGUGACAAACCGGAGGAAGGUGGGGAUGACGUCAGGUCCUCAUGGCCCUUAUGGGUAGGGCUACACACGUCAUACAAUGGCCGGUACAGAGGGCAGCCAACCCGCGAGGGGGAGCCAAUCCCGGAAAACCGGUCGUAGUCCGGAUCGCAGUCUGCAACUCGACUGCGUGAAGUCGGAAUCGCUAGUAAUCGCGGAUCAGCAUGUCGCGGUGAAUACGUUCCCGGGUCUUGUACACACCGCCCGUCACACCAUGGGAGCGGGUUCUGCCAGAAGUAGUUAGCCUAACCGCAAGGA
rnacentral:rRNA from 1 species